ACUGCAUCACAUGUGACCUCC
rnacentral:miRNA from 13 species